GAAGCCUUCCAGAUGAUGAAGCUCAGAGAAGGAAGAUGUCCUUCCUAGGGGCACACCGCAAAGCACACAGAUUCCAGCCAGGGUCCUUGGGUCUCCAGCAGGAGCGCUCUUCUACCACACCCAGCUGCCCGCACUGGGGGCUUCCCUGUGUGUGUGGUGUGUGCACUUCUUCCACCUGAGACGGAUCCACCCAUACAGAAGUGUUGGGGACAGCACGCACGGCCUUUCCUGGAUCAGUCUGUGUUGGGACGACUCAAGGGAACUCAGUGCUGAUGCUCCAGGGCUUACUGUCUGCUGACAUGUUGUCAGGAUCCGGAAGGGAGGUGUUUUGGCAUCAAGAAUAUUUUUCAUAUCCCCUAACAGGUGCUGUGGUGACUCCUACUCCUCUGGUCCUGAUGCAACUUGAAAUGUGGCUCAAAGGAAAGAAGAAACACCGCCUUUGGCACUUGGUGUCUGAAAAUUUCUACAGAGAAUUUCAACGUUUAUACGCCAUCAUUUUGAGGGAACUGCAGAAAUGGAGGAAUUUCUAAAAAACCUCACCAGAGAAAGAAUGAGAUGUAGAAACUUGCCAAAUCCAGCAAGCGUGAAGCAAACAUUCAACAAUACCCAUGAAGACUCUUCUCACUCUCUCCUCCAUGUCUUCUCAAAAUACUAGGAAGAUGCUGAUGCCAAAGUUAGCAGACUAAGGUAAGAAUUGGUGAGAAACCCAUUUUGAUUGUUACAUAGAAUUAGAAAAUCCAGUUUAAAAUAGAAUCAUGAUUGGAGUUUUUGUUGUGAGGAUGGUACUUAAGGUAGAUCCAAGAGUCAUGAGAAUUCCUAAGUUUUUAUUCCAGGUAAGUGAGAGGAGAAGAAAUUAUGCAAGUUCACUUUAACCAGAUUGUGUCUUAUAAAGUUAACAUUUCCUUUUGUUUCAACGGGUAGGAGGGGAAAUUAUAGAAAAGUAAUAGGAUCUAAACUUAAGUAAAAUUAUUAGGCUUUUUUUUUCUUUUCUUUUUUCUAUUUUUAGGAGUUUCUCUUUGUGUCGGGCAAAUUACCUAGACAAAUCUUUAGCAAAAAUAAAAUGAGAACUAAUCGAUUAGGCA
rnacentral:lncRNA from 1 species